rnacentral:rRNA from 1 species
UACGAAGGGGGCUAGCGUUGCUCGGAAUCACUGGGCGUAAAGCGCACGUAGGCGGCUUUCUAAGUCAGGGGUGAAAUCCUGGAGCUCAACUCCAGAACUGCCUUUGAUACUGGAGAGCUUGAGUCCGGAAGAGGUGAGUGGAACUCCGAGUGUAGAGGUGAAAUUCGUAGAUAUUCGGAAGAACACCAAUGGCGAAGGCAGCUCGCUGGGACGGUACUGACGCUGAGACGCGAAAGCGUGGGGAGCAAACAGG